rnacentral:lncRNA from 15 species
CCCUGGUAACGUCAAAGAUCUCCCCCAGAAUUUCCUAUUGCAUUAAAAUCAGAAUUCUAAUAAAAAAAUACUUAAUUGAUGAUUUAUUACAAUAUCUAACAGUAUAUAUAGAAAUAGAAAAUAGAAAUGUAUAUAUUGAUAAAUAUAUAUAUAAAAAAAUAUUUAUAUAAUAAGAGUAAAUAUAAUAUAUGACAAUAAAGAUGGAAGUAAUUGUGUGCUACAGUAUAUUAGCAACAUCAGUGUAAUAAAUUAAAGUGAGUACUGAUAAUGUUAAUAAUAAGUACUAAUAAUGUUGAUAUGUUGACAUCCUUAAAAGACUGCAGUAUUAGUCAGAGUACUGCACACUAACCAUGGUAUUGAGUGUCUGACACUCUGAAGGAGGAGUUCAAGGCAGGAAUGACUUGGUGUGGCGCUCUGUGGUGCAUCUCAGUGGAAUGAGUCUGUAGCAGCAUAGACAUAGGGCUGUCAUGCGGCAGUUAAUUGCGCCUGCUGACCACUAGGGCGGCAGUAUAUAAGUACGGCCCUCCUUCUCGCGCGCUCACUAACGCAUCAUUUCCGGGUCAGGUGUUUGCCUGUGCAGGUAAUGCUCCAUGCCACUGCUGCGGCUACUGCUUUGUUUCAUCUCUUACUGUGUCCUGUUGCUUAAAGCCUGCGUGUUUUCACUGCAGAGCAGCGACCGAGUGCCCCGUGCUUUGUGCUCCAUGCUCCGUUUAGACCUUGGUUCUCUCUGGCGGUGGGAAGUGUCCUCUCUCUCUGUGUUACACCGAAUGCUAUCCUGUAGCUAACGCUAGUGUGGUCACAGGUAGAUGUCCGCUGCCGUGUGGGUCUCUCUCUCCCUCCCUCUCCCUGUGCAGGUUUGACUUUGAAUACAGGGAAUGCUCGUCAGCUGGCCGAAAUCUACAGGUGGUGAUUGACGUGCCUUCACCACCAGCUGAUUGGGACCGCUGCUGUUUUGUCUCUGCCUUGUCGCUGCUUUGUCUGUGUUUUGUCUAUGCUUUGUCUACACUGAUUUAUCUACAUUGCUUUGUCCGCACAGCUUUGCCUCUGCCGUUAAACACACGGUUGCUGUGUUGUUUAUACCGCUUUGUCGACUAUAUGUCUGCUGUUGUGCCCCUACUGCUAGCUGCAUAGCUGUGUCUCUGCUGCUGUAUGUGACAUUGUCCCCUGCUUUGCCUCUGCAGUCACUUAUUCCUUGCUGCCUUGUUCUGCGGCUCUGGCUGCUUGGUGGCUUCCUGCUACGGCCGGCUUGCAUGGUGAACUGCAGACACCAUACUUUCAAUCUGUUUAUCCCUUUUUAUUUUAGCUGAACGAUGGUGAGGAGUUAAUCCCUUAGUUUAGUAUAACUUGUUUUGUUUUGUUAUACUUUAUUGUUUUGAUUAACUUGCUUGGUAAGCUUAUUUGGUUAACUAUUUCCUGUUUUAUGUUGUAUAUUGUUUUUAUUAUAUUAUUAUUUAUAUUUUGUGUUAAUUACUACCAUUGUAACUUUUGUUUUCCCUUCUCAGUGGCUGCAGGCUGGUGGUGGUGCUGGUGACGUGGGUGGUGGUGUCCCUCCUUGUGUGCUGUGCUUCCUUGGAUUUGGUGAUACCACAGUGUGUGACUGCCACGUGUGUCUGGGUGAACCCUUUUUCUUUAAUUUAAUUUUGUUGAGUCCCCUUUCCCUUCGCCUGCUCUUUCCCCACCAGUAGGCCUCAGCCCCUGAUUAGGCUCCCUUUUUCAUUUAUUGGGAUGAAUGCUAUUUUUUUAUAACGAUAUAUAUAUUUAUUAAAUAAAGUAUUUUUGUAAACUGGGAAUCACGUGUCUUGCCUGUCGAGUGGAACGAACCUGUGUUUUUGAUCAGUGUAAAAUAAUUCCUUGGGUGCAAUUCCCAAGGUGGCGUUGUCGUGCAACCUAAGAUUCCCAUUGAGAGCUCCACAUUUUGCAACCCCCGCCACAAAAAGACCUUAUUUCUAAGACACAGAACGGAGAAGAUCUAGUGCCCCAACACCAGGAGAGCCCUGGAGCUGUUAACAGUGCCUGAGCUAGGCUCACCUAGCCACAUCAUCAUCCAUACAGGCACCAACGACUUAAGGUCCCAACAGGACAGACUGGCAGACUCUCUGAGGAGAGUCAUUGAGCAAGCUUCCACCAAUUUCCCUAACAGCAAGAUAGUCAUAUCCACACUGCUGCACAGGAGAGACUUCCACCCCCACACCAUUCACAGAGUGAAUAUCAGCCUCUCCAGGAACUGUGCCCUCAAACCCAACGUGUUCUUGGCCCACCACCCGAC